AUCAAACCUCAUACGUCUCAACUCAGUCUUAUCUUCAUCUUUUGGCCUAUUAAGUACCCUUUAUGUUUCCCGGAAACUAAUGGCGAUGGUUGACUUGACAUUAUUGAAUCCAAAGUCUCUAGUAGUUUGAUUCCAGAAAACAACAAAACUUCCACGCGAAAUUGCAAAACACCAAGAGAAGCGCGCGAACUGGGGGCUGGAGAGACACGGAUACCGUUAUUCCUCGAGUCUUCUUCCACUUCCCAAUAUAAUCAUAAUCCCCGUUCCCCAGUUCCCACAACUCAGAAUUCUUAAACCUCAACCUGUUCAACUCAGCAGUCAUCCGACUUCAGAGUGCACAGGAUAGUAUUGCAGCAUUAAUGGAGCUGUGGUCUGGAUAGAGUGAAAGGGACGUGUGUUGAAAUUGAAAUGAACGGUUGUGGCGGUUGUGGAAUGCCCUCUUGCCAUUAAUAACACCUUACUACCAUACCAGAUACCACUACUUAUUAACUUCCUCCUGCCAUUAUUACCCUCAGAGUCAGAGACAGGGACGCACAGCAGUCAUACACGGUCGAUACUCGGACAGUUACGACCCCUCAUGGCUCGUUCAUUUGAUUUAUGGUCCAAAACAAAAGCCUUUCUGCUGUGUUGAAACUGAAGAAUCAAAGGCAAAGCUGGUGAUCCGCCAAACUACCAAGUUCCUACGCUGGACCAACAUUUGCUGUGGAAAUAAGGUGGAAGCUCCAUUCUAUUGCUUUACCGGUCCCAAAGUGGAAACAGAGCUCAAGACUGCAUUUUUUCUUCUUGAGGGAGCUCAAAUUUAUGGUAGAACUCACCGCUGAAUCGGGUUAUGACUUUGAAUCAAGAUUACGUGUUUAUUCUUGAAGGUGCUGGAUUACUAUAACAUAGACCUUAGCAAGUGCCUAAUCAGCGUAAAAGGUUGUGCUUGUGCAUGUUCAAUCAAAAUUGCACUUUUCACCUUGAGGCAGCUGGAUUGUAUCAUUGACAUGCUACAGACCUUAGCAAGUUCAUUUUUGGUUCCAAGGGUCAUGGACGGUCAAUUCAAGGUUGCAUUGCUUUCCCUCUUGCUUUUCAACUUUAUGCAGACGGAGCAGGUUCUAGCAAGCUCCGGCUCGGAAAGAUGGGCUUUGCUGGAGCUCAGGGCAUCCCUUGGUAUUAGAGCUCGAUACUGGCCCAAAAA